AAAGAUAAGUUAGCUCCUCGUGCUCUCAAGGGUGUCUUCCUUGGUUAUUCUCGUGUUCAGAAGGGCUAUCGUUGUUAUUCACCUGAUAUUCGUAGGUACCUUAUGUCAGCCGAUGUCUCAUUUUUUGAGUCUAAGCCUUUCUUUACCUCUUCUGACCAUUCUGACCAUCUGGCUAUAUCUGAAGUUUUACCUAUACCGGCCUUUAGGGGUGUUUUUGGGAGCACUUGUUUCGUUCAUAACUUAGCCUCUAGGAAAGAUAAGUUAGCUCCUUGUGCUCUCAAGUGUGUCUUCCUUGGUUAUUCUCGUGUUCAAAAGGGAUAUCGUUGUUACUCGCCUAAUCUUCCUAGGUGUUUUAUGUCCUCUGACGUCACAUUUUUUUAGUCUAAACCUUUCUUUACCUCUUCUGACCACCUUGAUAUAUCUGAGGUCUUACCUAUACCGACCUUUAAGGAGUCUACUAUAGCUCCUCUUUCACCUUCCGCCACAGAAGUCUUACUCGAGUCUACUAUAGCUCCUCCUUCCCCUUCCGCUACAGAAGUCUUACCCAUUCCAACUGUUGGAGAGUCUAGUGUGGCUCCUCCUCGACUCCCUGCCACAGGAACACCACUCUUGACAUAUAAUAGUCGUCCGUACCAGCAUCAAGCCCAGCUGAUUCACGUCUUGUAC
rnacentral:lncRNA from 1 species